CCUACGGGGAGCAGCAGUGAGGAAUAUUGGUCAAUGGACGAGAGUCUGAACCAGCCAAGUAGCGUGAAGGAUGACUGCCCUAUGGGUUGUAAACUUCUUUUAUAUGGGAAUAAAAUGUUCCACGUGUGGGCUUUUGUAUGUACCAUAUGAAUAAGGAUCGGCUAACUCCGUGCCAGCAGCCGCGGUAAUACGGAGGAUCCGAGCGUUAUCCGGAUUUAUUGGGUUUAAAGGGAGCGUAGGUGGAUUGUUAAGUCAGUUGUGAAAGUUUGCGGCUCAACCGUAAAAUUGCAGUUGAAACUGGCAGUCUUGAGUACAGUAGAGGUGGGCGGAAUUCGUGGUGUAGCGGUGAAAUGCUUAGAUAUCACGAAGAACUCCGAUUGCGAAGGCAGCUCACUGGACUGCAACUGACACUGAGGCUCGAAAGUGUGGGUAUCAAACAGGAUUAGAUACCCUUGUAGUC
rnacentral:rRNA from 1 species